AAAUUGAAGAGUUUGAUCAUGGCUCAGAUUGAACGCUGGCGGCAGGCCUAACACAUGCAAGUCGAGCGGUAGCACAGAGAGCUUGCUCUCGGGUGACGAGCGGCGGACGGGUGAGUAAUGUCUGGGAAACUGCCUGAUGGAGGGGGAUAACUACUGGAAACGGUAGCUAAUACCGCAUAAUGUCGCAAGACCAAAGUGGGGGACCUUCGGGCCUCAUGCCAUCAGAUGUGCCCAGAUGGGAUUAGCUAGUAGGUGGGGUAAUGGCUCACCUAGGCGACGAUCCCUAGCUGGUCUGAGAGGAUGACCAGCCACACUGGAACUGAGACACGGUCCAGACUCCUACGGGAGGCAGCAGUGGGGAAUAUUGCACAAUGGGCGCAAGCCUGAUGCAGCCAUGCCGCGUGUGUGAAGAAGGCCUUCGGGUUGUAAAGCACUUUCAGCGGGGAGGAAGGCGAUAAGGUUAAUAACCUUGGCGAUUGACGUUACCCGCAGAAGAAGCACCGGCUAACUCCGUGCCAGCAGCCGCGGUAAUACGGAGGGUGCAAGCGUUAAUCGGAAUUACUGGGCGUAAAGCGCACGCAGGCGGUCUGUCAAGUCGGAUGUGAAAUCCCCGGGCUCAACCUGGGAACUGCAUUCGAAACUGGCAGGCUAGAGUCUUGUAGAGGGGGGUAGAAUUCCAGGUGUAGCGGUGAAAUGCGUAGAGAUCUGGAGGAAUACCGGUGGCGAAGGCGGCCCCCUGGACAAAGACUGACGCUCAGGUGCGAAAGCGUGGGGAGCAAACAGGAUUAGAUACCCUGGUAGUCCACGCCGUAAACGAUGUCGAUUUGGAGGUUGUGCCCUUGAGGCGUGGCUUCCGGAGCUAACGCGUUAAAUCGACCGCCUGGGGAGUACGGCCGCAAGGUUAAAACUCAAAUGAAUUGACGGGGGCCCGCACAAGCGGUGGAGCAUGUGGUUUAAUUCGAUGCAACGCGAAGAACCUUACCUGGUCUUGACAUCCACAGAACUUUCCAGAGAUGGAUUGGUGCCUUCGGGAACUGUGAGACAGGUGCUGCAUGGCUGUCGUCAGCUCGUGUUGUGAAAUGUUGGGUUAAGUCCCGCAACGAGCGCAACCCUUAUCCUUUGUUGCCAGCGGUUCGGCCGGGAACUCAAAGGAGACUGCCAGUGAUAAACUGGAGGAAGGUGGGGAUGACGUCAAGUCAUCAUGGCCCUUACGACCAGGGCUACACACGUGCUACAAUGGCGCAUACAAAGAGAAGCGACCUCGCGAGAGCAAGCGGACCUCAUAAAGUGCGUCGUAGUCCGGAUUGGAGUCUGCAACUCGACUCCAUGAAGUCGGAAUCGCUAGUAAUCGUGGAUCAGAAUGCCACGGUGAAUACGUUCCCGGGCCUUGUACACACCGCCCGUCACACCAUGGGAGUGGGUUGCAAAAGAAGUAGGUAGCUUAACCUUCGGGAGGGCGCUUACCACUUUGUGAUUCAUGACUGGGGUGAAGUCGUAACAAGGUAACCGUAGGGGAACCUGCGGUUGGAUCACCUCCUUA
rnacentral:rRNA from 1 species